rfam:Zea mays cultivar B73 chromosome 3, whole genome shotgun sequence.
UUUUGGAGAUGAUGGUUCUUAUCAAAGGCUGUUUCCAAGGGGAGCCAAGAGCUUUCCCUGUGCUGCAAGACAACUAAUUGUCAUUCCGAUCCAAAG